rnacentral:rRNA from 1 species
UGAGGAACAUGACCUUCGGCGGGGGAUAGCCGGCCCAACGGCCGGGUAAUACCGCGUACGACCACAUGGGGACAUCCCUGAGUGGUGAAAGCAGCAAUGCGCCGAUGGAGUGCCUCGCGGCCUAUCAGCUAGUUGGUGAGGUAACGGCUCACCAAGGCGACGACGGGUAGCUGGCCUGAGAGGGUGAUCGGCCACAUUGGAACUGAGACACGGUCCAGAUUCC